AUGUAAGCUAAAUCGCCUUCUAUAACUACAUGCAAAAUGGUAUAAGAACCAUCUGCUGGUAUGUCCCAACGUUUCAUACCGCGGAAAAAAUUCAAAUAUGAUUUCUACUGUUAUAAACUAAAAUUCCAGGCUCUUGAAAAUUUUUAAAAAAUUCUUUGCGUACGCAAAUAUUGACGCCUAAAUCCAGGAUAUGUCCUGAAAAAUACGAGCAAGUUAAAUUGGAUGUCUUCAUGUCAUUUGGUCUGGAAUUUACAAUUUGCUACGCUCUCCCGCCACCCAUAUUUCUGUUACUUUAUUCCGCCUUUGCUUUUUUUCUUUGUUUCCUUGGUAAGGUGGUUCUGGGGAGGGGGUUAUCGAAAAUUUUAUCAUUUAUACAUUUAAUGUUUUUCUUUCCGUAAAAAUGCUUGUAAAUACCCAAAAGAUUAAAUUUACAAAAAAAAAAAAUUAUCGAAAUAAGUUCCAAUAACCCUUCACGAUGUAAUUCUGAAAGAACCGGAAGAGAGUCACCUCCCUGCUGGAGUUUAACGCUCUUCUGUAAUCACAUGCGCACAGAAGAGCUCAACUAAUCAGUUUGUGUUGUGUUUGUUUAUUGUUUACAGGUUAGUUCUGAUUUCUACUUUCGUUUUUAUUUUAUAUUAUUAAUUAUCCUAAAUAUCUUUGCUAUUUUGUUUACUUUAAUGAAUUUGCCAUUCACGAUCCAUUAUUUAGACGUUGUCUAAGUAAACGAGAUACUUUUAUUUUAAAAUCGGGAAUAAUUUUUAGGUGGCGGGAAGAGGAAAUUGUAACUGCAAAACGAUAUGUAAUAUAAUUAAAGAAUGUUGUUAAAUUUUUCAGACUUUUUCAAAUUUUCUACACUGAUGAGAUUUUCGUUUUUCUUUGUAAUCUGAAAAUUUGAAGUACUUUAAGUGGUUGGAAGAAACUUAACAAGGGUCCUAUUUUAAUAUUAAUAUUUUAGUGAUGUGGACGAAAUGGUAUUUUAAUUUGAUUUUGUAAGAAACUAAAUAUGACUCUACACGAUCAGACAUUGCACUUAUUGUUUGAAAAUAUUUCGGCGAACAAAAAGUGCCGAUGAAAUAAUCUUGCUGGUCUGAUCACCUACAACCUCCAUAGCUUUGUGCGAUUCUGGCUCAUUUACUUUCUUUAGUUUACAUAGCACCGAGGCCAGCUUUACCUUUUAUCCUUAAAAUAAGUACCAGUCUGAUUACGAUAGUAUCAACAAACUCCUUCUAUGAAAUUGCUGGCCUUGUGCUUGAAUUUGAAACAAUUAUUCCAGCUGGGUAGAACUGUGAAAGAGUCGAACACAAAUGCUUAGCGGUGUUUUGUUCGGCUCUUUAUGUUCUGAAUUCAAAUCACGCCGGGAUCAGUUUUGUUUUUCAUCCCUCCUGAGUCGAUAAAAUAAGUGAUCAAUCAGGUACUGUGAUCGAUGUAAUCGACUUGCCCUCGCUUCCCCUAAAAUUACUGGUCUUGUGCCAACAUUUAAGACCAUUAUCAUUGUUAUUUUACGAACACUUGACGAUAAAAUACGGUGAGAAUUCGGUAAUGUUUCGUAAACAACCUCCGGAACAAAACAAGAGGAACAAGAUAGAAACGAUUUACUGAACUCCAAGAAUGUCCAGAAAAAUUCUAAAGUAUUGUUUUAUUAUUCAUAAAAUAUACUACACAACAGUAAUUGACUUAGUUUAAUUAGUCUUACUAAUCACAGGCUCCCUCGUUGUUUCAAAGUAUUAUUACACCAUGUGUGGAGUCGCCGGAUGUCUACAAAACUUAUACAGGCACCCCUUCAGUAUUGGUCUAAGGAGUGUCUCUGAAUGAGGAGACGGCGUCAUUCACCCUUUAUUUCAAUUUAGUGGAGGCGCAAUGGCCCAGUGGUUAGGGCAGCGGACUCGCGGUCGGAGGAUCGCGGUUUCGAUUGCCAGACCGGGCAUUGUGAGUGUUUAUUGAACGAAAACACCUAAAGCUCCACGAGGCUCCGGCAGGGAUGGUGGUGAACCCUGCUGUACUCUUUCACCACAACUUUCUCUCGCUCUUUCUUCCUGUUUCUCUUGUACCUGUAUUUCAAGGGGCCAGCCUUGUCACAUUCUGUGUGUCACGCUGAAUCUCCCUGAGAACUAUGUUAAGGGUGCACGUGUCUGUGGAGUGCUCAGCCACUUGCACGUUAAUGUCACGAGCAAGCUGUUCCGUUGAUCGUAUCAGCUGGGACCCUCAUCGUCGCAACCGACGGAGUGCUCCUCCUACAUUUCAAUUUAGCCCCUUUAUGUCAUGAGGGAAAGUUGUAUGGAUGAAUGAUGUAUACCAAUAUCAAAGGAUUGCUGAUAUACAUAUAAAACUAAUUUUAUAUAUCAUGAAACAAUAAUUAACUCAUUUUAAUUAAUCUUAGUAGCUACUUAAAAAAAUUGUGACUUAUUUGUAAAUUGGGUGGAUGUGUUAUAUCGUUUCUAUACGAUUCCUUUUGUUUUGUACCUGAAGUUCUUCUUCAAAGGUUUUAGUGGAACAAAUCGAACCCUGUAGUUGUUUCUUAAAAUCUGGUAUUGUAUCGGUUGCUUUUGCCGAGCCACUAAGUUGCUGAGACGUAAACAAACCAACAUUGGUUGUCAAGCAAUGGUGGGAGACAAACACAAAGACAUACACACAUAUAUAUGUGUAUGUGACAGGAUUCUUUCAGUUUCCAUCUGCCAAAUCGACUCAUAAGGCUUUGAUUGGCCAGGAGCUUAUAAUUAGAGGACAAUUACCCAAGGUGCUGCACAGGGGCACUGAACCUGAAACCAUGUGGCUGAGAAACAAACUUCUUCAUCAUACAGCCAUGCCUGCAUUUAAAUAUAUAUAUAUAUAUAUAUAUAUAUAUAUAUAUAUAUAUAUAUAUAUAUAUAUAUAUAUAUAUAUAUAUAUAUAUAUAUAUAUAUAUAUAUAUAUAUAUAUAUAUAUAUAUAAAUAUAAAUAUAUAAUAUAUAAAUAUAAAUAUAAGCAGGAGUGGCUGUGUGGUAAGUAGCUUGUUUACCAACCACAUGGUUCUGGGUUCAGUCCCACUGCGUGGCACCUUGGGCAAGUUUCUUCUACUAUAGCCUCGGGCCAACCAAAGCCUUGUGAGUGGAUUUGGUAGACGGAAACUGAAAGAGGCUCGUCGCAUAUAUGUAUAUGUUUGUGUGUCUGAGUUUGUCUCCCCAAAAUCGCUUGGCAACCGACGCUGGUGUGUUUACGUCCCCGUAACUUAGCGGUUCGGUAAAAGAGACCGAUAGAAUAAAUACUGGGCUUUCAAAUAAUAAGUCCUGGGGUCGAUUUGUUCGACUAAAGGUGGUGCUCCAGCAUGGCCACAGUCAAAUGACUGAAACAAGUAAAAGAGAAAUGUGUGUGUGUACAUAAAAGUAUGGUGAUACAAACAGGGGAAAUAGAACUCAAAGUGUGUGUAUAUGUAUAUUUUAUUAAUAUUUAGCAGAAGCAACGAAGUUUGAUAAGUGCCAACACACAGAACUCCUAGCCUUUGUCACUCUGUUGCUUCUGCUAAAUAUUAAAUACUACACACACACACACAAUAUAUGUAUAUAUAUAUAAUAAUAACAAAGGGUGAAAUUAAUUAAUUAAGAAGUAAUCAAUAAUUUCACCAAGCAGAAUUCGGCAUGAAAAAGACCAUUUCAUGGUAAGCUUAAGUAAUACGUUAUAAAUAGGGUUCAGCAAUGAUUUGCUUCACCACAUACUGAAGUUUAGAAAUAGCAGUCAAAAAAUCUUAGCUAUUCUGUCUACUUUAAAGUGGGGUCCCAGGAAAACAAAAGCACUUGAAAACAAACCACGUAAGGCAAAAGUAGAAGGAAUAGCUAAGAUUUUUUGACUGCUAGUUCUAAACUUCUGUAUGUGGUGAAGCAAAUCGUUGCUGAACCCUAUUUAUAAAGUAUAUAUAUACACUUAGACAAGAGUUGGUACCAGGAAGGGUUUCUGGCCAUAGAAAAUUUACCCAAGUGGACAGUCAAAGUAACAAUGAUGACAUUGUAUAAACUGGUGGGGUAGAUCUGCAUAUUACCUUAUGCCUACCUCUAAGUGUUUGCAUUUUCUCCACUCUUUCACAGGUUUUGUUGCUGAUCAAAUAUGUUAAAUUUGUUGGGUGAAUGUUGCUGAAACAACCAUUGGUGACAGACAUUCUGAGUCAUCUGUGUAAUAUUGAACAGUCUGGGUAAGGUG
rnacentral:lncRNA from 1 species